UGGGGAAUAUUGCGCAAUGGGCGAAAGCCUGACGCAGCAACGCCGCGUGGGGGAUGAAGGUUUCCGGAUUGUAAACCCCUUUCGACCGGAACGAAUCUCCUCUUGGUAAAUAAUCAGGAGGAUCGACGGUACCGGGAGAAGAAGCCACGGCUAACUCUGUGCCAGCAGCCGCGGUAAUACAGAGGGUGCAAGCGUUAAUCGGAAUUACUGGGCGUAAAGCGCGCGUAGGUGGUUUGUUAAGUUGGAUGUGAAAGCCCCGGGCUCAACCUGGGAACUGCAUUCAAAACUGACAAGCUAGAGUAUGGUAGAGGGUGGUGGAAUUUCCUGUGUAGCGGUGAAAUGCGUAGAUAUAGGAAGGAACACCAGUGGCGAAGGCGACCACCUGGACUGAUACUGACACUGAGGUGCGAAAGCGUGAGGAGCAAACAGGAUUAGAUACCCUGGUAGUCCACGCCGUAAACGAUGACCAUUAGGCGUGUGGGGUAUCGACCCCCUGCGUGCCGUAGCUAACGCGAGAAAUGGUCCGCCUGGGGAGUACGGUCGCAAGAUUA
rnacentral:rRNA from 1 species